rnacentral:rRNA from 1 species
CCUACGGGUGGCAGCAGUGGGGGAUAUUGCACAAUGGGGGAAACCCUGAUGCAGCGACGCCGCGUGGGCGAAGAAGUAUUUCGGUAUGUAAAGCCCUAUCAGCAGGGAAGAAGAAAUGACGGUACCUGAGUAAGAAGCACCGGCUAAAUACGUGCCAGCAGCCGCGGUAAUACGUAUGGUGCAAGCGUUAUCCGGAUUUACUGGGUGUAAAGGGAGCGCAGGCGGCACGGCAAGCCUGAUGUGAAAGCCCGCGGGCCAACCGCGGGACUGCAUUGGGAACUACCGGGCUGGAGGGCCGGAGAGGUAGGCGGAAUUCCUAGUGUAGCGGUGAAAUGCGUAGAUAUUAGGAGGAACACCAGUGGCGAAGGCAGCCUACUGGACGGUGACUGACGCUGAGGCUCGAAAGCGUGGGGAGCAAACAGGAUUAGAUACCCUGGUAGUC